GACGAACGCUGGCGGCGUGCUUAACACAUGCAAGUCGAACGAUGAAGCCUUAGCUUGCUUUGGUGGAUUAGUGGCGAACGGGUGAGUAACACGUGAGCAACGUGCCCAGGACUCUGGAAUAACCGCGGGAAACCGUGGCUAAUACCGGAUAGGUGCCGAGGCCGCAUGGUCUUCGGUUGGAAAGUUUUUGCGGUUCUGGAUCGGCUCACGGCCUAUCAGCUUGUUGGUGGGGUAAUGGCCUACCAAGGCGACGACGGGUAGCCGGCCUGAGAGGGUGACCGGCCACACUGGGACUGAGACACGGCCCAGACUCCUACGGGAGGCAGCAGUGGGGAAUAUUGCACAAUGGGCGCAAGCCUGAUGCAGCAACGCCGCGUGGGGGAUGACGGCCUUCGGGUUGUAAACCGCUUUUAGUAGGGAAGAAGCGCAAGUGACGGUACCUGCAGAAAAAGCACCGGCUAACUACGUG
rnacentral:rRNA from 1 species